rnacentral:rRNA from 1 species
UGACCGCUGGCGGCGUGCCUACUACAUGCACGUCGAGCGAACAGACGCGGAGCUUGCUCCUCUGACGUUAGCGGCGGACGGGUGAGUAACACGUGGAUAACCUACCUAUAAGACUGGGAUAACUUCGGGAAACCGGAGCUAAUACCGGAUAAUAUAUUGAACCGCAUGGUUCAAUAGUGAAAGACGGUUUUGCUGUCACUUAUAGAUGGAUCCGCGCCGCAUUAGCUAGUUGGUAAGGUAACGGCUUACCAAGGCAACGAUGCGUAGCCGACCUGAGAGGGUGAUCGGCCACACUGGAACUGAGACACGGUCCAGACUCCUACGGGAGGCAGCAGUAGGGAAUCUUCCGCAAUGGGCGAAAGCCUGACGGAGCAACGCCGCGUGAGUGAUGAAGGUCUUCGGAUCGUAAAACUCUGUUAUUAGGGAAGAACAAAUGUGUAAGUAACUAUGCACGUCUUGACGGUACCUAAUCAGAAAGCCACGGCUAACUACGUG